GACGAACGCUUGCGGCGUGCUUAACACAUGCAAGUCGAACGGAAAGGCUCCGCCUUGGUGGAGUGCUCGAGUGGCGAACGGGUGAGUAACACGUGAGUAAUCUGCCCUGGACUCUGGGAUAACCCCGGGAAACUGGGGCUAAUACUGGAUAUGACCUCUCGCCGUAUGGGGGUUGGUGGAAAGUUUCUCGCGUGUAGGAUAAGCCCCCGGCCUAUACCCUUGGUGGUGGGGUGAUGGCCUACCCAGGGCACUACCGGUAACCCGGCUGAAAAGGUGAUCCGGCCCCUUGGGACUGAAAUACCGGCCAAAAUCCUACCGGAAGGAACAAUGGGGAAUAUUGGACCAUGGGCGGAAACCCGAAGCCACCACCCCCCCUGACGGAAGACAGGCCUCCGGUUGGAAACCUCUUUCCGCCUGGACAAAACCUAAGUGACACGGACCUGCAUAAAAAACACCCGGUAACUACCUGCCACCACCCGCGGUAAUACACUAAGGUGCGCAGCGCUUGUCCCGAAUUACUGGGCGUAAAGAGCUCUCAAGCGGGUUGACCGCUCCCUAUGAAAUCCUAUGGCUCAUCCCUGUGACGUGCGCGCUAUACAGGCUGACUUGAGUACUACGGGGGAGACUGGAAUUUCUGGUGUAGCGGUGGAAUGCACAGAUAUCAGGAAGAACACCGAUGGCGAAGGCAGGUCUCUGGGUAGUAACUGACGCUGAGGAGCGAAAGCAUGGGUAGCGAACAGGAUUAGAUACCCUGGUAGUCCAUGCCGUAAACGGUGGGCGCUAGGUGUGGGGUUCCUUCCACGGGCUCCGCGCCGUAGCUAACGCAUUAAGCGCCCCGCCUGGGGAGUACGGCCGCAAGGCUAAAACUCAAAGAAAUUGACGGGGGCCCGCACAAGCGGCGGAGCAUGUGGAUUAAUUCGAUGCAACGCGAAGAACCUUACCUGGGCUUGACAUAUAGAGGAUCGCUACAGAGAUGUGGUUUCCCUUGUGGCUUCUAUACAGGUGGUGCAUGGUUGUCGUCAGCUCGUGUCGUGAGGUGUUGGGUUAAGUCCCGCAACGAGCGCAACCCUCGUCUUAUGUUGCCAGCACGUUAUGGUGGGGACUUGUGAGAGACUGCCGGGGUCAACUCGGAGGAAGGUGGGGAUGACGUCAAAUCAUCAUGCCCCUUAUGUCCAGGGCUUCACACAUGCUACAAUGGCCGGUACAGAGGGCUGCGAUGCCGUGAGGCGGAGCGAAUCUCUUAAAGCCGGUCUCAGUUCGGAUUGGGGUCUGCAACUCGACCCCAUGAAGUCGGAGUCGCUAGUAAUCGCAGAUCAGCAACGCUGCGGUGAAUACGUUCCCGGGCCU
rnacentral:rRNA from 1 species